AGGGCAUCGUAACUAUCCUUUCAAUUAAAUGUGACCUGUAGUUAGUGUUUAAAAAACAUUUCUGGAAGCCCAACUGAAGGAUCUUAUGAGUCAACCAGAGACACUAAGCCGGGUGAGCACAGGCCCCACCCAGGCCUCCUGGGCCUGAUUUGGGCUGAAUCCAGUCUGCUGUGGGCGUGGGGAAGGCACGCUGUGCUCACAGCAGGGCAGACGGUUUCCAGACUCCCAGCUUCCCUUCCUGGCGCCCACUGCUCCACACAUGGUGUCUGCAUCUCGUCCUCAUCAGUCAAUUGUACCUGCCCCACCCUCCUCCAAAGCCAGGGAACCAUCUUUAAUUCAGGAUCCCAGAUGCACCAGUUCAAGAACACCAAGAGACCUUAGUUCCAUCCUCAAACGGAGGCCGUGGCCGCCAGGCUGUCAGAGGUGUCGAUCCUCUAGUGGGGCGCUCAGGGUCCUCUUCCUCCCUUAGACAUCUCUGCUGAGUAGAACGGAGCUCCCGGCACCGCCCGGACUGAGCGUUGUUGUCUUGACUGACACGCAGGGCUCAGCCACCUUGGGGGACUCAUGCAUCUUGGGGACCUUAGCCUCUUUGGAGGGAUCAACCAACCUGAAAGUUUCAACCACUUGGAGUCUUUUCUAUCUCCUUCCACACAUUUUUCUGGGAGUCAGGAUAGUCCAAGAUAGUUGACUUAGCUUUGUGUUUCCAGAAGAGAAUCUAAGAACCAAGACAGAGAGAGGAGAAGCCGAAGAGAGGGGCAGAGCAGAGACAACUGCCCUCAGAAAGGAAGGCAUAAAGGGGAUGGAGCGGUAAUCCUCACAGCAGCCCUUCAAGGUGGGUCCUGCCCUCCUGGGCCUUCACCUGGCAGGAGAACUCCAUGCUUCGACAGGCGAUGGCAGGACCUGCAAUGAGUGCUGUGAAGAAGGAAUGCCUCAACCCAGCGGGGGUGAGGAAGCAGGAGGGGUGCCGAGUCCUAGUGAUGCCCUGCAUUGACAUCCCCAGAGGACCCAAAGCCAUGUAGACAGCCAUCACCACUACCAAAUCUAUAGAAAAGUGCAUGUGGCGUAAGUGUACUACUUGCCACAUUUUCACAAACUGAACACACCCAGAUCAAGAACCACUACAACACCAGCCCAGAGCCGCCACAUGCCCUCUAGCCUGGACCCUGCAAGGCAGCCAUCCUCACACAGCAGAGUCCCUUUGCCUGUCUGUGCUUUAUAUACAUGGAAUCUUAUAGCACGUGCUUUCUGGCUGGCUUCUUUUGCUCAACAUGGCGUCUGUGUACAGUGGUAGACUGUUUAUUCUUGUCGCUGUAGAAUAUUCCCUUGGGUGGGAGGGAUUUAUUUAUCCAUUUGUUUAUUUAUUGUGAUUAUUACUGAUUAUUCUUUACUCACUUUAUUUGUCCAUCGUGCUGUGGCUGGGCACUUGGGUAGUUUCUGUUUUGGGGCGGCUGUGAUUCAUGCCCCUGUGAAGCCUCUUGACCUGUCUCUGGCUUUUCUCUUCGGCAUCUGAGAGGGACCUGCA
rnacentral:lncRNA from 1 species